rnacentral:rRNA from 1 species
CCUACGGGGGGCAGCAGUGAGGAAUAUUGGUCAAUGGGCGAGAGCCUGAACCAGCCAAGUCGCGUGAGGGAGUACUGCCCUAUGGGUUGUAAACCUCUUUUGUCGGGGAGCAAAAGCCGGACGUGUCCGGCUGUGAGAGUACCCGAAGAAAAAGCAUCGGCUAACUCCGUGCCAGCAGCCGCGGUAAUACGGAGGAUGCGAGCGUUAUCCGGAUUUAUUGGGUUUAAAGGGUGCGUAGGCGGUAUUUUAAGUUAGUGGUAAAACGUCGGGGCUUCACCUUGAUUGGCCAUUAAAACUGGAGUACUAGAGUACAGACGAGGUAGGCGGAAUAAGUUAAGUAGCGGUGAAAUGCUUAGAUAUAACUUAGAACCCCGAUAGCGAAGGCAGCUUACCAGACUGUUACUGACGCUGAAGCACGAGAGCGUGGGUAGCGAACAGGAUUAGAUACCCUGGUAGUC